GUGUCAGCAGCCGCGGUAAUACGGAGGGUGCGAGCGUUGUCCGGAAUCACUGGGCGUAAAGGGCGCGUAGGUGGCACAGCAAGCGUGCGGUGAAAGCCCGGGGCUCAACUCCGGGUCGGCCGUGCGAACUGCGGUGCUGGAGCAUGGUAGAGGCAGGUGGAAUUCCGGGUGUAGCGGUGGAAUGCGUAGAGAUCCGGAAGAACACCGGUGGCGAAGGCGGCCUGCUGGGCCAUGGCUGACACUGAGGCGCGACAGCGUGGGGAGCAAACAGGAUUAGAUACCCUGGUAGUCCACGCCGUAAACGAUGGGCACUAGGUGCUUGGGGGAGCGACCCCCUGGGUGCCGGCGCUAACGCAUGAAGUGCCCCGCCUGGGGAGUACGGCCGCAAGGCUGAA
rnacentral:rRNA from 1 species